GUACCUACGGGAGGCAGCAGUAGGGAAUCUUCCACAAUGGACGAAAGUCUGAUGGAGCAACGCCGCGUGAACGAUGAAGGCUUUCGGGUCGUAAAGUUCUGUUGUAAGGGAAGAACAAGUGCCGCAGGCAAUGGCGGCACCUUGACGGUACCUUGCGAGAAAGCCACGGCUAACUACGUGCCAGCAGCCGCGGUAAUACGUAGGUGGCAAGCGUUGUCCGGAAUUAUUGGGCGUAAAGCGUGCGCAGGCGGGCUGUUCAGUCGGAGGUGAAAGCCACCGGGUGAACCGGGGAGGGCCAUUGGAAACUGGGAGGCUUGAGUAUAGGAGAGAAGAGUGGAAUUCCACGUGUAGCGGUGAAAUGCGUAGAGAUGUGGAGGAACACCAGUGGCGAAGGCGACUCUUUGGCCUAUAACUGACGCUGAGGCGCGAAAGCGUGGGGAGCAAACAGGAUUAGAUACCCCGGUAGUCUA
rnacentral:rRNA from 1 species